rnacentral:rRNA from 1 species
GUGGGGAAUAUUGGACAAUGGGCGCAAGCCUGAUCCAGCCAUGCCGCGUGAGUGAUGAAGGUCUUAGGAUUGUAAAGCUCUUUCACCGGUGAAGAUAAUGACGGUAACCGGAGAAGAAGCCCCGGCUAACUUCGUGCCAGCAGCCGCGGUAAUACGAAGGGGGCUAGCGUUGUUCGGAAUUACUGGGCGUAAAGCGCACGUAGGCGGAUAUUUAAGUCAGGGGUGAAAUCCCAGAGCUCAACUCUGGAACUGCCUUUGAUACUGGGUAUCUUGAGUAUGGAAGAGGUGAGUGGAAUUCCGAGUGUAGAGGUGAAAUUCGUAGAUAUUCGGAGGAACACCAGUGGCGAAGGCGGCUCACUGGUCCAUUACUGACGCUGAGGUGCGAAAGCGUGGGGAGCAAACAGGAUUAGAAACCCUGGUAGUCC